GAUUUCCUUUGCUCCUUUAAAAGUGUCAAAACAGGACAGUGACAGGAUUCAAAGACUUCAUUUUGUAUUCAAGUCAAAAGGGUAGUUUUUAAUACUCAGCCUAAAACAACGAAACAGGGGAAACCCCGAAAACGGAUUAUUGUGCUGACCAGUGUGAACGAUUUAGCGUUUUAGAUAUUAAAAAAUUAAAAUAUAUUGGUAAAUUGUUUCGGGUCUUCGGGUCCACAAAAGUUCAAAUUAAAUCAUAUUCGAGUGUGUUGUUCUUCAACCUGCUAUUUAUUACUUUUUUGUAUAGUUUAUAUAACAAACUUAAAUAACAUCAUCGACGAAUCGAUCCGGAACACCUAACUAUGGGAAAAUCAACCAAAACUGGAAGAAAGGCCACAGUCUAUUUAGGAUCAAUAACAAAUAGGCAACUAUAAGGAUAAAUGUGAAUAAAUAAUAACACGAUUUCUAGAGUAUAUAUACAUAUAAAUGUACACAUAAAUUUGCUCAAUUCGCCGCCAAAAGAACGUUUUCAUGGAAUCAAAACAGGAUACCCAAAAUAAUGGAAAUAAUAGUGAAUAUCAAUUCGAGUAAAAUUUUACGAAUAAUAAAUUCACCUGAUAAGCUAAAGGGACUUCAAUUCGUGUUUUCAUUAAAGUCACAAAUAUAUCACAUUUGAUUUACACAAGUUUUUUUUU